UUCUGUACCAAGUAACACUCAACAGACAUUACCAGAGACAACUUCAGAAUUCUUGAUUAGUACUGCAUCUCAGUCACAAACAACAUUACAGGAGACAACCUCUGAGUCUGAAUCAACUUCUGGGUUAACGACAGGUCAGGAACAAACAACAGAACCUGAAACGACUGCAAUAUCAACUACGACACUGCCACCAGCAACAUUACUUCAGACAACAUCUGAGAUUUUUACAACUUCUGUACCAAGUAACACUCAACAGACAUUACCAGAGACAACUUCAGAAUUCUUGAUUAGUUCUACAUCUCAGUCACAAACAACAUCACAGGAGACAACGUCUGAGUUUCAAUCAACUUCUGGGUUAAUGACAGGUCAGGCACCAACAACAGAACCUGAAACAAAUGCUGUAACUACUACCACACUAUCAUCAGCAACAUUACUUCAGACAACAUCUGAGAUUUUUACAACUUCUGUACCAAGUAACACUCAACAGACAUUACCAGAGACAACUUCAGAAUUCUUGAUUAGUUCUACAUCUCAGUCACAAACAACAUCACAGGAGACAACGUCUGAGUUUCAAUCAACUUCUGGGUUAACGACAGGUCAGGCACCUACAACAGAACCUGAAACAAAUGCUGUAACUACUACCACACUAUCAUCAGCAACAUUACUUCAGACAACAUCUGAGAUUUUUACAACUUCUGUACCAAGUAACACUCAAGAAACAUUACCCGAGACAACUUCAGAAUUCUUGAUUAGUUCUACAUCUCAGUCACAAACAACAUCACAGGAGACAACGUCUGAGUUUCAAUCAACUUCUGGGUUAAUGACAGGUCAGGCACCAACAACAGAACCUGAAACAAAUGCUGUAACUACUACCACACUAUCACCAGCAACAUUGCUUGAGACAACAUCUGUGAUUUUCCCAACUUCUGUACCAAGUACCACUCAAGAAACAUUACCUGAGACAACGUCUGAAUUCCUGACACGUACUACAUCUCAGUCACAAACAACAUUACAGGAGACAACGUCCGACUUUGAUUCAACUUCUGGGUUAACGACAGGUCAGGCACUAACAACAGAAAUUGAAACAACUGCUGUUCCAACUACGACAUUGCCACCAGCAACAUUACUUCAGACAUCUGAGAUUUUUACAACUUCUGUACCAAGUUACACUCAAGAAACAUUACCCGAGACAACUUCAGAAUUCUUGAUUAAUUCUACAUCCCAGUCACAAACAAAAUUACAGGAGACAACCUCUGAGUUGGAAUCAAGCUCAGUGUUAACGACAGGUCAGGCACCAACGACAGAACCUGAAACAACUGCUGUACCUUCUACCACACUGUCACCAACAACACUGCUUGAGACAAAAUCUGAGAUUCUCACAACUUCUGUACCAAAUAGCACUCAUGAAACAUUACCUGAGACAACUUCUGAAUUCCUGACAAGUACUGCAUCUCAGUCACAAACAAAAUUACAGGAGACAACGUCUGAGUUUCAAUCAACUUCUGGGUUAACGACAGGUCAGGCAGCAACAACAGUACCUGAAACAACUGCUGUAACUACUACCACACUAUCACCAGCAACAUUGCUUGAGUCAACAUCUGAGAUUUUCCCAACUUCUGUACCAAGUAUCACUCAAGAAACAUUACCUGAGACAACUUCUGAAUUUUUGACUCGUACUACAUCUCAGUUACAAACAAUAUUACAGGAGACAACUUCUGAGUUUAAAUCAACUUCUGUGUUAACAACAGAUCAGGCACCAACAACAGUACCUGAGACAACUGCUGUACCAACUACAACAAUGUAUCCAACAUCACUGCCUGAAGCAACCGCUGAGGUUUUCACAACUUUAAUAUCAACUAUCACUAAGGCACCAACAUUACCUGACACAACUUCUGAAUCCCUAACAAACAGUAUAUCUCAGUCACCAACAACAUUACCGAAAGCAACACCUGAUAUCAUCACAAGCCCUGUGUCUAUUACAGGUCAGGCACAAGCAACAGUAUUUGAGACAACUUCUGCACCAACUUCCGUUCCAGAACAGAAUAGACAGGAUUUGAUCACAGGGUCUGCAACAACUACAUCUUACACACCAAAUAAAUUACAUGAGACAACUUUUGAGUUUUUUACAAGUUCUGUACCAACUACAACUCAGUCACCAACAACAAUAUCUGAGACAACACUGCCAAACACAACAACUGAGCAAUCAUCAAUUAGCACCAUCCAAAUAAUAUCUACUGUACAAGUAGCAGAUCAGCCAACAUUCUCUUCUGCAGGUAAUCCUAUAGCAACUAUAGACAAGUCAACUUCUCUUCCAUUAACAAGCACUAAUGGAACACUAGCAAACUUUGCAUCAACUGAAAUACCAACAACACUUUCUGUUUAUGUCCCAACCACAAAUGAACAAGAAUCACCAACCGCAGCUGAGUCUCUCACAAGUCCUGCACCAACCAAAGCAAUUGGGACCAUUAAAAGAACAUCUGAACAAGUAACAAAUCAACAAAUAGACACCUCUACAGAUACAUCUACAAUAGCUCAGUACCAUUCAAAUUCUCUUGCAUCCACAUUUACAUCUGAAAUCCUCACGCUUUCUUUCCCAGCUGAAUCACCACCAACACAUGCGUCAACACAAAAAUACACAACAAUGAUACAGUCUUCAACAGGUUCAGUUUUUGUCACAGCAACAAAUGAGCAAGAAAAAACUUCUCUUCCUCCAGUAACCACAACUGGGAUCUUCACAAGUCCCGUCCCAACCUCUGCUCAGUCACCAGCAGCAACAAUACUGAAGGCAACUUUGCCAGAAACAAUGGUAACUCAAUCACAGUCAGCUUCUCCUCCAUCAGGAAUCACUGUUGUAUCUCAAAAAAGUGCUGUAACAACUGAAUUGCCAGCCACAACACACAAUGAAGACACUUCACAGUCAUUAAUUACUUCCGUCCAUGUGCCAAUGACAAAUGUGCAAGAAUCAACUUUGUUUCCAUCAACAACCACAACUGUGUUCCUCACAAUUCCUGUGCAAUUAAGUACUGCUCAGUCACCAUCAACAACUCCUGAGGCAAAUAUGCCAGACACAACAACUUUGCCAAACACAAUGGUAACUCAAUCCCAGUCAACCUCUCUUCCAUCAACAAACACUGCGGAAUCCCUAAAAACUGAGGCAACUGAUUUACCAGCAACAACACAGGAAACAACGCAGGAGGAAACAAUGAUGCAGUCAUUAACUAAUUCAGUCAAUGUACCAACAACAAAACAAAUUUCGCUUCCUGGAAUAAGUACAGAUGGUUUUCUUACAAAUCCUGUAACAAUUGCCCCACAGUCACCAGAAACGAUACCUAUAACAACAUCUAAAUUACUCAAAAGCUCUUUUCAAUCUACAACUCAGUCACCAGGAACAUUACUUGAGACAAUGGUGUCAGCUACAGAUACAGCUAUUCACACAAACACUCCAUCUGAUGUCCCUACAUUUAUGCAACAAUUAACAUCCGUUCCAGGAACAAAUGUUCCUGAAACCCUGAACAAAACAUCGUCUACAGUACAAUUAACAACUACUAAAAAAAUCACUUCAGCUGCUUUCCCAACAACUAUGCAACAAUCAUCAAGUGCUUCUGAAUUUGUCUCACAAUCAACUGCAAUGGAUAUUACACUGCAAAAUUCAACCACAGGAAACAUUCUGAUAAGUACAGAUGAAAUUCUAACAACUACACAACAAUUAACAACUCCUCUAACCUUAUUUGAGACUACAGUCCCUGAAACAACAACAGUGCACUCAGUCAUAAGCAAGACAGAUGUUUCAGCAUCAUCCACACAAUCAUUUACAUCUCUUAAUACAGUCAUCUCAAAUAACCCUCAAACAAUGACUAAACAACAAUCAACUACAGGAACAACAACUGUACCUGAAUCCACUACAAGUUUUGUAAGCAGUAUCGCUAAAACUCUAAUUGUGUCAACUGUGGAACAAUCAGUGCCAACAGAUAGCCCAACCACAACAGCAACAACAAUAUAUGGGACGACAGCAACUACAGCAUCUACAGUACAAGUAACAGCAACUCAUACAAACACUUCAACUGAUGUCUCUACAACUAUGAAACACUCAAUUUCCGUUUCAGGAGCAAGCACAACAAAAAGCACAAAUGCAAACCCAACAAGCACAUUUGUGACUACAGUGCCUGAAACGACAACAGUAUUUUCCAGAACAACAACUGUAGCUGAAUCAUCUACAGCACCAGCACUGUCUACCAGUGCCUCAACAUCACCAUUACCUGCUUCCACCAAUACAAGAACUACAACUACAUUCCCAACAUAUACAGGGUCUUCACCUACAACCACAGUAUUUCGCACUUUGUUUCCAUCAUUAAGUACACAACAGUCACUGACUAAUACAACCCAGACAUCUACAGACCUAGCAACUACAACAACCACCACAAGUCAAGCUUCAUCGACAACACUGAAGCAACUGAUCACUACUGCAAUGUUAAGAACUACUAUUAAAGCCACCAUAAAUCCACUGACCACAGCUACUGACACAACAGUUACUGCUCCAACUACCACUGUGUCUACUAAUCCACCAACAGAAAAAGAAGGAUACCUUUAUCUACAAUUCAGGAUGGUCCGAUUCUUUAUACCAGCAUAUGCCGAUCCAACGUCAAAUGAAUAUCAGAUGCUGACAACAAAUGUGACAACUGAGCUGAACAGAGGAUACAAAUUGAUGUUCCCUCUGAUUUACCAACGAAGCAGAAUCAUCAGCUUUUGGUCGGGCUCUGUUGGUGUAACGACUCAGCUGAUCUUUGUCAACCAGUCAGUGGUGCCCAACCUGACAGUAACAGAGGAUUCCCUAAAGACAGCUGUAAAUGACUCCAUUGUCUUCUUAGAUAUCAUUCCAUCCAGUAUAAGGGCAGAACAGCCAAAUGUCACAGCAACAACCAUCAGUUCUGGAACAACAAACAUUACAACAACUACCACAACUACCACAACUACUACAACCACGAUGAAACAAACCACAAGAGCACCGACUAGUCAAACAUCUGCCCAGACUACGUCCAACAGUGCAACGGCAAGAAACCGACCCAAAGAUGUGGUCACACUUCUUCUCCCUCUCAUCCUCAUCUACUUCCUUCUAACAGAGCCAAGAGUAUAACACAAAUAAAUGCAUCUCUAAAUAAAACA
rnacentral:lncRNA from 1 species